UGUAGAGGAAUAUAAUUAUAUUAAUAGUUAAAAAUUAUGUUUUUGGUCGGUUUCGCACUAAGAUAUGUUUUAACCUAGAAGAAAUGUAUUGUGUCAAAUGGAUUGGGAUUAUGUAAGAGUGGAAAUACUCUUUAUGGAGUUGCGCUGAGGAAAUCUGGCGCCAUAGAAAGUCAAGUUGACCUGGCUCCCAGCUUUCCUUGGCGUGCGAAGCCGAAGUGAGACGGAAAGAAUGUCUGGGAAAUAAACUGUUUGGAUAGAUAAGAAUAAUAAUUGGCUUGUUUUGCACCUUUGAAAUGGAGCAGAUGUUGGAGGUCAAUAGAUCUGAAUGUUUCCAAGGAACUUCCAAUACACAUCCAGUGUAAGACGGAGCCAAAUGAACUACGUAAAUGGAGGAAAGCAACGCCAUUGGUCGGGGCUUUCCAAUACACACCAGCAGAGCUCGGAUCCUAUAAAAAACUGAUACCAGAAGUAGAAGUCAAGAGAUUUUGGGACUACUGUAACGAUGUGUAUGUGAUGUUUAGUUCCGCAGAUGUGCAUUAAAAUCUCUUCUCGUUUUGACUAUGA